rnacentral:ncRNA from 2 species
UUAAACUUUCGGGGCAGGGUGAAAUUCCCGAUCGGCGGUAUAGUCCGCGAGCUUUUAUAGCAUGAACUGGUUUGAUUCCAGUACCGACAGUAAAGUCUGGAUAAAAGAAAGUAAAG